rnacentral:lncRNA from 1 species
CCAGGAUGAUGCUUAGUGUAGGGACAGACGAGGAGGUCCCCGAGCCGUGAAGGGCAGGCUCUUCGCAGUGCAACCAGCGAGAGCACUUGCACCUCAGGAAACCAAGCUAGCUAACAAGUCCAGAAAUCACAUCAGGUAUGUCCAGGUUUUCAAAGGAUGGGUCAGCAUCCAUGAAGAAAGAAUGAGUUUGGGCCCUUUAUUGAUAAAAACAGCAAAUGGGGACUUCUGGGUAAUAAUAGUAUCUGUUUAAAUUGGUUUCAUUGUGAAACAGCAGUAAAAACCACCAUAAAGGUUUUGUUUGGUUUUCUUCAAGGUAUAAAAUCCACAAAGAUGAAGAGGAAAGGAAAUAAAGCAACCCCUGAUAUUUCUACUCUGGAUGGCAGACCGAGCAAAUAGUAACUGUGCAGCAGUGGGGAAAAUGGAAAGAAAUCAACCUGUUUGAUCUCAAAGGCUGGAAAAGUUCAGGGUUCGGAAGGACCAGGUCCCUCU